AGUGCCCCCUAUGGGGCGAACAGGCCAGAUGGCUGCACUGGGUGCUGCAGUGAGCCCAUAGAAGGCUUUUUAUUGUUUCCAACAACUUUGGAAGAAUAAUAUCCAGCAUAAUGGAAGGAAUUCCUAGCUGGGUGGUUGAGUUGCAUAGGUGCUCCUCUCGUGAUCUGGGCUUCCCUACAAGAAAUGGCUCAAGGAGUCCUUCAGGCUGCACUAAAUAGUAACUGGAAUCCACACAAAGAAAUAAAGCACACACUAAAGGGGAGACAGACACUGUACCCAAUGGAGCAGCUCAAUGACAAGACAACGUUUCAGCCCUGUUCUCUCUGCCCAAGGGCACACUCAGCUCUGUACCAUCACCAGAGGGACUUCUGCUCUGAAGUGUCAUAUGUCAUCUCUCUCUGGAAGGCACCUUUUCCC
rnacentral:lncRNA from 1 species